rnacentral:misc_RNA from 1 species
AUGCCGCUAGAGUACCUAUGCUGCGCGCAUGGUCGUAAAAGUAUACAAGACCUAUUGUAUACGACACUACGUUGAAAGCUUACACAAACAUACUUUUCACAUAGAUACGAAUGUUGCGCACAGUGGCCCAGACUGACAGCUGGAAGAACGUGAAACAGGAGUGGCAGAUCAUGUAAGGGGCACUUAGUCAUAGACUGAAACUUGAUAAUUCACGAGCAGACGCGCUACUAAGAAUACAUUAGAAGAGUUGACAGGAUAGGCAGAAGAAAGCAGAGCAGUGGGGGAGGGGGUGGGAGAACAAGAGGCGGUAUGACACGACCCCCUAAUAAUGACAACCUUAUGACCUUCAAAUUGGUCGUGGUUGGAGAUGGAGGUGUUGGAAAGAGUGCACUCACUAUACAAUUCUUUCAAAAAUUAUUUGUCACUGACUAUGAUCCUACCAUUGAGGAUAGUUAUAUUCAACAUACAGAGGUAGAUAAACAAUGGUGCAUCUUAGAUGUGUUAGAUACAGCUGGUCAAGAAGAAUUCAGUGCCAUGCGUGAACAAUACAUGCGCAAGGGUGAUGGGUUUCUAUUAGUAUACUCUGUGACUGAUAAACAAUCUUAUGAAAAUAUCAUGAAUUUUUAUACCCAAAUACUUAGGGUAAAAGAUAGAGAUGUAUAUCCUAUGCUUCUGGUAGCCAAUAAAGUUGAUUUGGUACAUUUGAGAAAAGUUACAGAGGAACAGGGAAGGGAGUUGGCUCACCGGUUGGGUAUACCUUAUAUUGAAACUUCUGCCAAAGACCCGCCAUUAAAUGUAGAUGCUGCAUUCCAUGAGGUCGUUCGUAUUAUCAGAAAUCAACCUCCAGCCGAAUUGGAAAAAAAUCGGAGGAAACGAAGACGUUCGGGGAAAUGUAAUCUUUUAUAAACCUUGAAAACGUUGAAAUGAAUUGGGUAAUGAUUACACGUUACCUUUCAUCACUUCUUUCAUAAUAAGUGAAACGCACCUGCCAAAAAACAAAAAAAAAAAGGAAAAUGAAAAAAUGGGUCUUCUGUCCUCCAUCGUAUAUAGAGGUCUGAUAUAAAAUAUUUAUCGUGUUCGAGUGCAAGAAAUAUUGCUCGAAGUGUUAAGUUUAGCCAGGAAGUCGAGAGAUUAUUAUAUUAUUACAAAGAAGGAUGUGCAGUGAACGAUAUAUUGCGUUUGAAAUAUAAGUAAAAUUUUUUUUAAAAAAAUUUGUCGCAACAAUUUCUUUUCGUUCAUUUUAUCUUAUAGAUUCCAAAUGUUUCUUCUCUAUUGUGCGAGUGCAGUGUGCGAAUUUUAAUUAUGUCAGACCUUUUUACGUAUAUUGGAGAAAUAAUGCCAUGGCCUAUCUUAGUAUUUAAACGUGAAAAGGGAAUUGUGUGUGUAAAUGAAAUUUAAUGUUAUAUGUGAAUGCAAGUAUCAAACAGUGAAUUAUUUUUCGUGCUUAUACGGAUUCGAACGUUGCAAUCUGUCGUGCAUAAUAUUCGUCUUAUAUCUUUUACGUACUCAAUACGUACUGUAAAUUAUAAGAUUAUCAAUGAGGAGAUUAUGACAUGAAUGGCUCGUUUAAUUAUUUUCCGUUGAUAUACGGACAUAAUAAUAAGUAUUCGUUUGCAGUUUUAACUUUCUCAUCGAAAGAAUUUAUUCACGGAUCGUAAAAUUUAUACGUAAAAUAUAAUUCGCAACAUAACACAAUGAAUAUUUCUUUAUUGUUAAUGACGUUGUUUGUAAUGAAUACGGAAAUAUGUUGAGAAAAUAGGAGACGAAAAAGCAGUUUAUUAAUUGCUUUAGAUUUUUUUUUUUUUAAUAAGAAACUAUGUUUCAUUUUUUUUUUUUUUUUUUACGAUAUAUAGCUUAGUAUCUUAAAUAUCUUUAUGUUUCUUAUCGAGAUUCGAUUACAGUAUCAUAUUUUAGUGUACGCACAAAGUGCUUUACUUAUACGUAGGAACGGUGUGAAACUGAAUAAUAAUAUGUAUUAAAUGGUAUGUACGCGCAAGAUGUGCAAAAAUAUCUUGGCGCCACCGAUUAAUUCUAACAGUGAAACAUAUUUGCCUUGAGAUAAAAAUAAUUUGUAUUGUAAACGAUGAAGGGGAAUAACGAAGGAAUCUGGCUAGUUGCCAUACGUAGAAAAUCCACUUCGAUAUUCUUUAACGAUAACAAAAAAAAAAAGCGAUUAUUGUAUUUUAUGACCAGUUGAACGUCGGACAGAUUUAGAUUUGAUAAUAUUCUUCGUUAAAAAGAAAAAAAGAAAAACUGCAUAGAUAUCAUUCGUCGAAGUGCAACGAAGUAUUAAAGAAAAAAGAAAAAAAAAAAAAUAGAAAAAAAAAUAGAAAAAAAAAAAAAAAAGAAGAACUGAAAACGACGACUAUUUUGCUCUAUUGAUACUUUCCGUUCCGUUUCGCCAAUGAGAGGUUCAUAAAUUAAGAAUGUUAUUUCAGCUAAUCUAUUCUCUUAGAUUUGGAGUAUGCUCAAUGCGUAGUCUAAAAUUGCACUGCACGAAUAAACAAUUGUACAAAUUUUGCCGAAACGUUUUUACGAACAUUACAAACUUGAUGAUUCCGUUGUUACAGUUUCAGUACGAGGAUAUUCGCGAAUCGUAUAUCGUUCUGCAUAAAAUUUGCAAAUUGUACGCUAGCGUACAUUACUAUUAUUGUCCAUCCACGAAAUUCAGCGAACGUGUGGGCAAACCGAAUUGAUUUCUGCAUCGCGCGCGGAUGUAUUGUCCGCGCGAUAUUAAUACGGGUUACAUGUACACAUUUCUCUCGCAAGGUGAAACAAAUCGCGCUGCUUCAUUUAAAGCCCGUUCAUUCGAUAGUAGAAUGUUGCCUCGCGAAUAAACGUGGACCAUCCAUUUCACCCGAUCAAUUGGAAAUUUCUACGUUUGUAAUAAUGAUAUUACAAAAGAACGUUUCUGCGUAGAUCCAAUUAAAAUUAUUAAUCGAACGAUGCCCCAGUGGCCUCGGAUGGAUGUAAAGUCGUUGUUUCGUUCCGUUGUGAACUUGUUUUUUUUUUUUUGUUUUUUGUUUUUUUGUUUUUUUUUUUUUACGAAUGAAUUAUACUAUUACGCGUUAAGGAUUAAGAAAUGAUUAUAACAGCGAUCAUUAUUGGGGAUAAUAAGAAAACGAGAGAGAGAGAGAGUGAGAGAGAAAUGUAUAAUAUACGUGGAUAUUGUGAGAAAAUUUUUAGACACUCAGGAUUUAGCGUUCCUCGUAUGUUGUAAUAUGUAAUCUGUAAACAAAAGCGCUACGUUUUUUAUCGCCGUCCAUGAGAGAGGUUUGUGCAAAAAAAUAGAGGCUCAUCUCUGUGGUUACAUAUGCAAUAUGUACGACACAAAUAGAGACGAUACACACGCAUAUAUCGCAUAUAUUGAAUCGAAUACUUCAACGAGUAGUUCAACGACGAAAAUUAUACGACGAUCGAGACGCAUCGUAUCGACGUUGGAGAAGGGAAAUCGCGAACGCUCGUGGCGUUCAUUGCGACAAACUUUUAGAACGUUUAAAAAGAAGGGAAGGCAAAGAAGAAGAUUAAUCUAAAUGAAAUAGUCAAUACGUUGAAUCAUUGUGAUACCGAGUGGAGAAGACGCAAAGUAUAUAGUUGAACGCUGUGGUUGUGCGAGUCAUCGAAGUCAGUUGGAAUUAUAAAUAAAAUACGUCUUUCUUUCAUCUGCCAAUCUAGGAGGCGAGGAUUUUAAAUUUGAAUGAAUUUCGAGGGGGCCGAAUCGAAAUAAGAUACAUUGACGAAACUUCGUUACAAGGAGAAACGAUCAACGUGAUUCAUUCAGCGAAUAUUUGAGCAGCGAAUCUCUGACUUCGUUCUCGUUUUCUCCCAGUAUUGACUAGUUAUCUAUUAACACAUUCGAAUACCGCACAUACAGUAUAGCUAUUGUCGUUAAUUUUUUUAAUAGAAAGAACAAAAAAAAAAAAAAAGAUCAUAUAAUGACGCACAGAAAACAAUGAACUACGCAUAAUAAGAGAGUUAAUAUAAGUUUGAGAUGGAGUACGAUCGUCUCCACCGUUCUUGUUCUAUAGAUAGUGACGAAAAUAUAUACAUAUUAUACAUAUAUGUAUAUAUAUUUUGAAGAAUGAAGAACAAAAUGAAGAACGAAAAUUCCUCCCCAAUGAUAGUUAUAUACGAGAGAUGCUGGCAUAUAUAUACAUUGUAUAUGUAAAA